GUCCCCCUUUUAUAUCGUCUUCCCACUUGCUGGAAAGCUCUUUUGCUGUGACCUGGGUCAAACAGUUCCCGUUGUGCAGUGCUAUCUCUGAGAGGUUUCUAUUGUACAAGUUCCUGGGGUAAUCCUUGUGCUUGUGUGCAUUUCCUCAAUAAGCCAUCAACAUUGUUUGGCCUUUUUACUGUUGUACCUGCAAUGCGGCUUGUGGGUGUUUCCAGCCUCACAAAAUGUUUCAAGUAGAAAAGGAGGACUUGUGGCACCUUAGAGACUAAAAUUUA